rnacentral:rRNA from 1 species
UACGAAGGGGGCUAGCGUUGUUCGGAAUUACUGGGCGUAAAGGGCGCGUAGGUGGCUUGGCAAGUUGGGUGUGAAAGCCCAGGGCUCAACCCUGGAAUUGCACUCAAGACUGCUUUGCUUGAAUUCGGUAGAGGUUGGUGGAAUUCCCAGUGUAGAGGUGAAAUUCGUAGAGAUUGGGAAGAACACCCGUGGCGAAGGCGGCCAACUGGGCCGACAUUGACACUGAGGCGCGAAAGCGUGGGGAUCAAACAGG